GAAUGCGAUCAUACCAGCACUAAAGCACCGGAUCCCAUCAAAACUCUGAAGUUAAGCAUGCUUGGGUGUGAGUAGUAAUAGGAUGGGUGUCCUCCUGGGAAAUCCUCAUGUUGCACUCC
rfam:Triticum aestivum genome assembly, contig: Triticum_aestivum_CS42_TGACv1_scaffold_394766_5AS